rnacentral:rRNA from 1 species
AACGAACGCUGGCGGCAGGCCUAACACAUGCAAGUCGAGCGAGGACUUCGGUCCUAGCGGCGGACGGGUGAGUAACGCGUGGGAACGUGCCCUUUGCUACGGAAUAGCCCCGGGAAACUGGGAGUAAUACCGUAUGUGCCCGAGAGGGGAAAGAUUUAUCGGCAAAGGAUCGGCCCGCGUUGGAUUAGGUAGUUGGUGGGGUAAUGGCCUACCAAGCCGACGAUCCAUAGCUGGUUUGAGAGGAUGAUCAGCCACACUGGGACUGAGACACGGCCCAGACUCCUACGGGAGGCAGCAGUGGGGAAUCUUAGACAAUGGGGGAAACCCUGAUCUAGCCAUGCCGCGUGAGCGAUGAAGGCCUUAGGGUUGUAAAGCUCUUUCGCCGACGAAGAUAAUGACGGUAGUCGGAGAAGAAGCCCCGGCUAACUUCGUGCCAGCCGCCGCCGUAAUAC